CGUAGGGCGCAAGCGUUGCCCGGAAUUAUUGGGCGUAAAGAGCUCGUAGGCGGCUUGUCACGUCGGGUGUGAAAGCCCGGGGCUUAACCCCGGGUCUGCAUUCGAUACGGGCUAGCUAGAGUGUGGUAGGGGAGAUCGGAAUUCCUGGUGUAGCGGUGAAAUGCGCAGAUAUCAGGAGGAACACCGGUGGCGAAGGCGGAUCUCUGGGCCAUUACUGACGCUGAGGAGCGAAAGCGUGGGGAGCGAACAGGAUUAGAUACCCUGGUAGUCCACGCCGUAAACGGUGGGAACUAGGUGUUGGCGACAUUCCACGUCGUCGGUGCCGCAGCUAACGCAUUAAGUUCCCCGCCUGGGGAGUACGGCCGCAAGGCUA
rnacentral:rRNA from 1 species